rnacentral:rRNA from 1 species
CAGUAGCCACGGGAAUACGUAGGUGGCAAGCGUUGUCCGGAAUUAUUGGGCGUAAAGGGCUCGCAGGCGGCUUCUUAAGUCUGAUGUGAAAGCCUCCGGCUCAACCGGGGAGGGUCAUUGGAAACUGGGAAACUUGAGUGCAGAAGAGGAGAGUGGAAUUCCACGUGUAGCGGUGAAAUGCGUAGAGAUGUGGAGGAACACCAGUGGCGAAGGCGACUCUCUGGUCUGUAACUGACGCUGAGGAGCGAAAGCGUGGGGAGCGAACAGGAUUAGAUACCCGUGUAGUCCCUGUCUCUUAUAC